UGGCAGAGUUGCACAAAGUCAUCAGCGUCACUCUUUCUUUCAGAGUCAUUGAAGUCCAGCAGCAGGACAAAAAUCAGGAUGACUGACAAUGACUCAGGAGGCAGUAGAGAUCUUGAUGUGGUCCACAGUGCCUGAGGGCUGUUAAAUUGUUCCCAUCUGUCCUUUCCACCAAGGUAACAUCUCUUCUAGGACCAUAUAAGGAACAAUGAAAAUGAUGUAAGAGAAUAAGAUAUUAGGUUGCAUUAGAGGCAUCCAUCCCAGCUACUUUAUUGUGGGUAUUGUGGAGGAGAGAAUUUAUAAGGUGCGCAAAAGGACAAGAAGCAAGACAAGAAGCUGGAGAUUGAUCAGCUGUCAAUCAAAGGAAUAUUCCAUUUGAAAUGUUACCUGGAAACAGUUGAAGGCAAGAGCCAACUACUGAUGGU
rnacentral:lncRNA from 1 species